rnacentral:rRNA from 1 species
UGCGCAGGCGGAAUAUUAAGUCAGUGGUGAAAGCCUACAGCUCAACUGUAGAACUGCCAUUGAAACUGAUAUUCUUGAGUAUAGUUGUAGUGGGCGGAAUAUAUCAUGUAGCGGUGAAAUGCUUAGAUAUGCUAUAGAACACCGAUCGCGAAGGCAGCUCACUAAACUAUAACUGACGCUCAGGCACGAAAGCGUGGGGAGCAAACAGGAUUAGAUACCCUGGUAGUCC